GACGAGGUGGCCGAGUGGUUAAAGGCGAUGGACUGCUAAUCCAUUGGGCUCUGCCCGCGUGAUUCAAUCCAUCCUCGACG
rnacentral:tRNA from 1 species